AUGUUUGUAGUCUAGUGGUGAGAAUUCCCCGUUUUGGCCGUGGAGAACUGGGCUCGAAUCCCAGCAGCCACA
rnacentral:tRNA from 1 species